UAACACAUGCAAGUCGAGCGAUCUUCUUCGGAAGAGAGCGGCGGACGGGUGAGUAACGCGUGGGUAACCUGCCCUGUACACACGGAUAACAUACCGAAAGGUAUGCUAAUACGGGAUAACAUAAGAAAGUCGCAUGGAUUUCUUAUCAAAGCUUUUGCGGUACAGGAUGGACCCGCGUCUGAUUAGCUAGUUGGUAAGGUAACGGCUUACCAAGGCGACGAUCAGUAGCCGACCUGAGAGGGUGAUCGGCCACAUUGGAACUGAGACACGGUCCAAACUCCUACGGGAGGCAGCAGUGGGGAAUAUUGCACAAUGGGCGAAAGCCUGAUGCAGCAACGCCGCGUGAGCGAUGAAGGCCUUCGGGUCGUAAAGCUCUGUCCUCAAGGAAGAUAAUGACGGUACUUGAGGAGGAAGCCCCGGCUAACUACGUGCCAGCAGCCGCGGUAAUACGUAGGGGGCUAGCGUUAUCCGGAAUUACUGGGCGUAAAGGGUGCGUAGGCGGUCUUUCAAGUCAGAAGUGAAAGGCUACGGCUCAACCGUAGUAAGCUUUUGAAACUGUAAGACUUGAGUGCAGGAGAGGAGAGUGGAAUUCCUAGUGUAGCGGUGAAAUGCGUAGAUAUUAGGAGGAACACCAGUUGCGAAGGCGGCUCUCUGGACUGUAACUGACGCUGAGGCACGAAAGCGUGGGGAGCAAACAGG
rnacentral:rRNA from 1 species